rnacentral:rRNA from 1 species
AGCAGCCGCGGUAAUUCCAGCUCCAAUAGCGUAUAUUAAAGUUGUUGCAGUUAAAAAGCUCGUAGUUGAAUUUCGGGAUCAAGAAAUCGGUCAUGCCUCGGUAUGUACUGGUUUUAUUGGUUCUCACCUUCUAAAGAACCAUAAUGUCAUUCAUUUGGUGUUAUGGGGAAUUAGGAUUGUUACCUUGAAAAAAUUAGAGUGUUUAAAGCAAGCUUACGCUUGAAUACAUUAGCAUGGAAUAAUGAAAUAGGACAUCCGAUUCUAUUUUGUUGGUUUCUAGGAUCGAUGUAAUGAUUAAUAGGGAUAGUUGGGGGCAUUAGUAUUCAAUUGUCAGAGGUGAAAUUCUUGGAUUUAUUGAAGACUAACUACUGCGGAAGCAUUUGCCAAGGAUGUUUUCAUUAAUCAAGAACGAAAGUUAGGGGAUCGAAGACGAUCAGAUACCGUCGUAGUCUUAACCAUAAACUAUGCCGACUAGGGAUCGGAUGAUGUUUAUUUUUUAGUGACUCA